UCAGACCAAACCGCAGGAGAGAGAUGGGUUUUCACUCUGAGAUGCCUCCCUUGUUUUUGUUGAGAGCGGUACUGACAUUUUAAAAAAAAGAUCCGUGCCUACAUCUGAAGAGUCACCCCAUUCCCUCAUGGGCUCCAGGAGCCCCUCCUCGGCCAGGCAGGUCUCCUCCUCGACUCACAGCUCCUUGACUCACUGCACGGGGGCCCAGCUCACCUGGAGGACUGGAGCUGAAGGUCUCACAAGAUGACUUAGAGCGGCUCCAUCUUUUGGAAGGAAAUCUCUGGGUUGAACGGAUCGUUAAAAAAAUGAGAAUAUGACAAUAUUAAAGGUCCCCAGCGUGCUUGGAGGAGGGAUCAGGCCAUUGGCACGAGACACUGCACCCACUGGAUCUUUCCUAAAAUCACCCCUGACGUUCCUUUCACGGUGACUAUGGGGGUGAUUUCUCACUUCACCCGCAGACUGUUAGGAAGUACAUUUUUUGUUUUCUUCGGGUGAAAAAAAUGGUGAAAAGAAACAUGAAGGCCCAGGGUGGUUAUUAAUGCUUUUAAAGGUUUUAAAAUAAGCCCCGAAGAGGCCAUGGACCCAGUCUGCCCCCCAAUUCCCAAGCCAGCAUUGCAACAACUGGGAUUUAAAUGGCAACAUUGCGAAACAUCCGGGUUUCCACGUUCUGAGCACAGGUCCCUCAAAUAGACGUGAGGCCUGAAAUUAUAGGCCGUCAGUGGGACCGUAGGAUGGAGGACGUUCCCACUGGCCGAGCCGAGGCUUCCUGGAAUGUGGGGGUGUGAGGAGCCCAGUGCACCCUCGCUUUGGGGCAAUCGGGGGGUUGCCUGGUCGUGGCCUCCUUGGAGGCUAACACAGGCCACAGGUCACGGCUGUCACCACCCCAGGGACCCUGGGCAAAACCUAAGGCUGGGAGCCCUGUCAAGCCUGCCUCGGGGUGUGGGGUGCGGGGUGCAGGGUGUAGGGUAGGCUGCGAGCUCCUGGCUUCACCCCUCCAUUCCCAGGCAGUGGGAAGGCAGGGUGCUGACAAGUCGACCGGGGAGGGC